rfam:Cricetulus griseus cell line CHO-K1, whole genome shotgun sequence.
UGGCUCAGAGGUUAAGAGCACUGGCUGUUCUUCCAGAGGUCCUGGGUUCAAUUCCCAG